rnacentral:misc_RNA from 1 species
CAAAGGGGUGGCAGAGGACAGUGUUGAACUAAACGGUGUCGAGUGAGGUGUGUGUGCCAGUGAUUCGUGCUGUCGAUGCAAUAUUUUGGAUUCUGGGAAGUUAUUUUACUUCCUGUUCAUCGGUGAUUCGAAUUUUUAAAAAGAGCAUCUAUCGAGAGGCGGCUGAGGCACCGCCAAGAUGACCACGGACAUUUGUAUAGGCGAGCGCUGGGAGCCGCUCAAGCAGGACGAGCUCAUUGAGGAGUACGAUGGCGGCAACUCUUCCUCCAGACUCUUCGAGAGGAGCAGGAUUAAGGCGCUGGCAGAUGAGCGAGAGAGCGUGCAGAAGAAGACCUUCAUGAAGUGGGUGAACUCUCACCUCAUCAGAGUGAACUCGAGGAUAGGCGACCUCUACAUCGACUUACGUGACGGCAAGCAGCUCAUCAAGCUCCUCGAGAUACUCUCCGGCGAGAGGCUGCCUCGCCCCACGAAAGGCAACAUGCGCAUCCACUGUUUGGAGAACGUGGACAAGGCGCUACAGUUCCUGCGGGACCAGCGCGUGCACUUGGAGAACAUGGGAUCCCACGACAUCGUGGACGGCAACGCCUGCCUCACACUUGGUCUCAUCUGGACCAUUAUUUUACGCUUCCAAAUUCAGGACAUCACCAUUGAGGAGAGCGAGAACAAGGAGACCAAGAGUGCGAAAGACGCGCUGCUUCUCUGGUGUCAGAUGAAGACUGCUGGCUACCACAAUGUCAAUAUCAGGAACUUUACUACGUCCUGGAGAGAUGGUCUUGCUUUCAAUGCUAUCAUUCACAAACACCGGCCUGAUCUCAUCAAUUACGAGAAACUGACUCGUUCAAACGCCAUGGGUAACCUCAACAACGCCUUCAAUGUGGCAGAGUCUAAGCUAGGCAUCACCAAACUUCUCGAUGCUGAGGAUGUUUUCGUGGAGCUUCCAGAUGAAAAGUCCAUCAUCACGUACGUCGUUACUUUCUAUCACUACUUCUCCAAGAUGAAGCAGGAGACUGUACAAGGCAAGCGUAUCGGCAAGGUUGUUGGUAUUGCCAUGGAGAAUGACCGCAUGAUCCACGAAUACGAAACUCUGACUUCUGAGCUCCUGAAAUGGAUCGAAAUGACCAUCGAGUCUUUGAACGACCGCCAGUUCAUCAACUCAUUAGUUGGUGUUCAACAGCAGUUGGGUCAGUUCAACGCCUACCGAACAAUCGAAAAGCCUCCUAAAUUUGUUGAGAAGGGCAACUUGGAAAUACUUCUCUUCACUCUGCAGUCGCACAUGCGUGCCAACAACCAGCGCCCGUACCUCCCUCAAGAAGGCCGUCUCAUCAGUGACAUCAACAAGGCCUGGGAGUUGCUGGAGAAGGCCGAGCAUGGCCGUGAGUUGGCUUUGAGGGAAGAACUUAUUCGUCAGGAAAAACUAGAGCAACUUGCCGCCAGGUUUGAUCGCAAGGCUGGCAUGAGAGAAACCUGGCUCUCUGAAAACCAACGCCUUGUAUCACAGGACAACUUCGGUUUUGAUUUGGCUGCUGUCGAAGCUGCUGCCAAGAAACACGAGGCUAUUGAGACAGACAUCUUCGCUUAUGAAGAACGCGUCCAAGCUGUUGUUGGUGUUGCCAAGGAACUUGAGGCUGAGAACUACCAUGAUGUCGCUCGCAUCAACGCAAGGCGUGACAACGUUCUGCGUUUGUGGAAUUAUCUUCUGGAACUGCUGCGACUGCGUCGCAUGCGACUGGAACUUUCUCUGCAACUGCAGCAGAACUUCCAAGAGAUGCUCUACAUCUUGGACAGCAUGGAGGAAAUGAAGUCUCGCUUGUUGAGCGAAGACUACGGCAAACAUCUGAUGGGUGUGCAAGACUUGCUUCAGAAACACUCGCUGUUGGAAGCCGACAUCAAUGUUCUGGGUGAACGUGUGAAGACAGUGAUGGAGCACAGCCAGCGCUUCCUGGACAUAGGCGACGUUGCUGAUGGCGAAGAACCGCCCUAUAGAGCUUGUGAACCUCAACUGGUUCUUGAACGAGUGCAGCAGCUCGAGGAUGCGUAUGCUGAACUCGUCAAGCUCGCUGUUGAACGUCGAGCUCGUUUGGAAGAGUCGCGUCAGCUGUGGCAGUUCUACUGGGACAUGGCUGAAGAAGAGAAUUACAUCAAGGAGAAGGAGAACAUUCUUUCGUCGCCCGAUAUUGGCCACGAUCUUAAUACGGUCAACAUGCUGCAAACCAAGCAGAAGACCAUCAAUGAAGAACUCAAAUCGCACGAGGUGCAGCUGAAGGCUGUUAUUGAUAGCGGCGAGGCUCUCAUAAAAUCGGGCCACUUUGGGUCCAGCAAUAUCCGUGAACGCAUUGAAGAAAUCCAGACGAUGUGGAAACAUCUAUGUGAGAAAUCAGAGGCCAGACAGAACCGUCUUGCUGAUGGUGUUGCUCUCCAUCUAUUCUUGUCAGAAGCCGACGACGUUGAUACCUGGAUGUUAGACGUACUGCGUCUAGUCAGCAGCGAAGACGUUGGUAGUGAUGAAUCCACAGUCCAGUCAUUGCUGAAGAAACAUAAGAACGUCACGGAUGAAGUCAAGGACUAUGCCAUGAACAUUGAGGCUCUUCACCAACAGGCUGCUAAGUUGCAUGACGAUGACCAAUCUAGUCCCGUGGUAGUGGACAGGCUCGCUUCCAUUGACCGCCGCUACCAAGAACUCCUCGAGCUGGCGAGAGACCGGAAACAGCGUCUGCUCGAUGCUCUAUCGCUGUAUAAACUUGCCACCGAAGCUGCUGGUGUUGAGCAAUGGGUGGGCGAGAAGGAGCGCAUGUUAGAAACUAUGGUUCCUGCACGCGAUAUCGAGGACUGCGAGGUCAUGAAGCACAGAUACCAAGGCUUCGACCAGGAAAUGAACGCAAAUGCCGGCAGAGUGGCGGUCGUAAACCAACUCGCUCGUCAACUGCUUCAUGUGGAUCAUCCGAACAGGGAAGAUAUCAUACAGACUCAGAAUCAGCUCAACCAAAAGUGGGCGGCACUGCGCGACAAGGCUGAGAACAAAAGAGAAGAGCUCAACUCGGCUCAUGGUGUGCAGACCUUCCACAUUGAGUGCCGCGAGACAGUGCUAUGGAUCGAGGACAAGAAACGCGUCCUGCUUGAGACUGCAGAUCUUGGCACUGAUCUCAGUGGCAUCAUGACCCUGCAGAGACGAUUGUCUGGCAUGGAACGCGACCUUGCCGCUAUCCAAGCCAAGCUUGAUGCCCUUGAACGUGAAGCUGACAAGAUUAGUUCAGAACAUCCCGAGGAGGCUGAACUUAUUCGCCAACGCAUCACUCAGAUCAGAGAGGUCUGGGAUCAGCUCACUCAGCUCCUCAAGGAGCGCGAUGCCAAGCUCGAGGAAGCUGGUGAUCUUCACCGCUUCUUGCGUGACUUGGACCACUUCCAGGCAUGGCUGACCAAGACCAUGACCGACGUAGCCUCUGAGGACAUUCCAUCAAAUCUCGCCGAGGCUGAGAAGCUACUUAACCAGCACCAGAGCAUCAAGGAAGAGAUUGAUAACUACCGAGAUGACUACACUAAGAUGAUGGUUUAUGGUGAGCGUAUCACUGCUGAAGAUGUCACUCCUGCUGACGACGCUCAAUACAUGUUCUUGCGAGAGCGACUCAAGGCUCUUAAGGAUGGAUGGGCUGAGCUUCAUCAAAUGUGGGAGAACCGUCAACUGCUCCUCUCAGACUCCCUCAACUUGCAGAUGUUCAAUCGUGACGCCAAGCAAGGCGAGGUUGUUCUCAAUCAACAGGAACAUUACCUCAGCAAAGACGAAACUCCUGCCAAUCUUGAACAGGCUGAGAACCUCAUCAAACGUCACGAAGCUUUCCUCACGACAAUGGAAGCAAACGACGAGAAGCUCAAUGCCAUUUGUCAGUUUGGAGACAAGCUUGUCAAAGACAACCACUUUGCCGCCGACAAAGUCCAGAAGAAGGCUGAAAAUAUUGAUGAGCGGCGAGCCGCUAAUCGCGAGCAUGCCAUGCAGCUUAUGGAUCGUCUCCGUGACCAGUUGCAAGUUCAUCAAUUCCUGCAGGAUUGUGAGGAGCUCAACGAUUGGGUUCAGGAGAAACACAUCAUUGCUCAGGAUGAAAGUUAUCGGUCCGCUAAGACGGUCCACAGCAAGUGGACCCGCCACCAAGCCUUUGAAGCUGAAAUUGCUAGCAACAAGGACAGAUUAUUGAGAGUCCAGCACGCUGGCCUUGAGCUUCUGAAAGAAAAGCCUGAGAUGGCUGAGCUUAUUGGACCGAAGAUCGACGAACUUUCCCAACAUUUCGAAGCUCUCGAAACGACUACGAAAGAAAAGGGUGAGAGGCUCUUUGAUGCCAAUAGAAAGGUUCUCUACGAACAGAGUUGUGAUGAUAUUGACUCCUGGAUGUCAGAUCUGGAGAAACAAAUUGAGAAAGAUACAGGUGGUGAUCUUACUUCAGUUAAUAUUUUGAUGCAGCGGCAACAGAUGAUUGAGACACAGAUGGCUGUUAAGGCUAAGCAGGUGGAACAACUAGAAGGACAGGCUGAAUACCUGCAGCAGAUGACACCAGAAAAGGCCGAUGAAAUUAAACAGAUGAAAUCCAAAGUUGAACAAAAAUUCGAAUCACUCAAAGGUCCUCUGUUGGACCGACAGAAAGAACUUGCCAAGAAAAAGGAAGCUUUCCAGUUUGCUCGCGAUAUCGAGGAUGAGAAGCUAUGGAUUGCCGAAAAGAUGCCUUUGGCGACCAGCACCGACUAUGGCAACUCGCUCUUCACUGUACACACCCUCAACAAGAAGCUGCAAUCUCUCAGCACCGAAGUCGAUAACCACGAACCUCGAAUCGACCUUGUGUGUUCCAACGGUCAGAAACUCAUCGAUGAAGGUCAUGUUGACUCUGAUGAAUUCAGAAGAUUGCUUGGAGAACUGCAAGAAGCCUGGGCUACACUCAAAGAAGCCAUUGACCACCGACGCCAGAAACUUCUCGUGUCCGAGAAGGCUCAACAAUAUCUGUUUGAUGCUGGCGAGGCGGAGGUAUGGAUGAGCGAACAGGAGCUUUACAUGAUGGUUGAGGACCGCGGCAAAGAUGAGAUCAGUGCACAGAAUCUCAUGAAGAAGCACCAGGGACUCGAAGCUGCUGUUGACGACUACGCCGAGACCAUUCGACAGCUUGGAGAAACUGCGCGUCAUCUCAUCAAUGAGGGGCAUCCUGAAAGUGAGCAGAUCAGCAUCCGGCAGUCACAGAUCGACAAACUGUAUGCCGGUCUGCGCGACCUGUCCGUUGAGCGGCGCAGUCGUCUGGAUGAAGCGCUCAAGCUCUUCAUGCUCAACCGCGAGGUGGACGACCUGGAGCAAUGGAUCGCUGAGAGGGAAGUCGUCGCUGGCUCCCAUGAACUUGGUCAAGAUUAUGAUCACGUCAUGAUGCUUCGCGAGCGUUUCCGAGAGUUCGCCCGCGCGACAGAGGCGACGGGCGUGGAGCGCGUGGCUGCCGUCAACGAGAUCGCCGACCAGCUCAUCAGUGCCGGCCACAGCGACGCUGCCACCAUCGCCCACUGGAAGGACGUCCUCAACGAGUCCUGGGCCGACCUCCUCGAACUCAUUGACACUCGGACCCAAAUGCUGUCUGCUUCCUGGGAACUGCACAAGUUCUUCCACGACUGCAAGGACGUUUUGUCGCGCAUCCUCGAGAAGCAGAACAGCAUCAGCGACGAGCUGGGACGUGACGCUGGUUCUGUCUCCGCCCUGCAGCGCAAGCAUCAGAACUUCGUGCAAGACCUCGUCAUGCUUCACACGCAAGUGCAGCAAAUCCAGGAGGACUCCGGCAAACUGCAGGCGGCGUAUGCAGGGGACAAAGCGCGCGAGAUCACGAGCAGAGAAGCGGAGGUCGUGUCGGCAUGGCUCGGCCUGCAGGGAAUGUGUGAAGAAAGGCGCGUCAAACUCAACGACACUGGCGACCUCUUCAAGUUCUUCUGCCUCGUGCGCACGCUCAUGUUGUGGAUGGACGAUGUCGUUCGUCAGAUGAACACUACCGAGAAGGCCAGGGACGUGAGCGGCGUGGAGUUGCUGAUGAACAACCACCAGUCGUUGAAGGCUGAAAUUGACGCCCGCGAGGACAACUUCUCGGCGUGUGUACUGCUGGGCAAAGAACUGCUCUCUCGCAACCAUUAUGCAUCGCCCGCCAUCAAAGAGAAGCUAAUGUCCCUCAGCAACGGCCGCAACAAUAUGCUGCAGCGCUGGGAGCAGCGAUGGGAGCAUCUGCAACUCAUUCUGGAGGUGUACCAGUUUGCGCGAGAUGCUUCAGUUGCCGAGCAAUGGCUCCUUGCUCAGGAACCUUAUCUCAACUCUGCCGACUUGGGGGCUUCCAUAGACCAAGUGGAAAACCUGAUCAAGCGGCACGAAGCUUUUGACAAGGCCUGCUGCUCACAGGAGGAGCGUUUUGCUGCCCUCGAACGCCUCACUACCUUCGAGCUCAAGGAACUGAAGAGGCGGCAAGAGGAGGCUGAGGCCGAGCGCCUAAGACGAGAGGAAGAGGCGCGGCAGGCGGAGGCGCAACUGCAGCAGCAGCAGCAACAGAUGCGCCAGAGUCCUAUGGACACCACCGAUCGAGGGGAAGGUGGCGACGACUCAUUCGCGAGUGGAGACAAACAUUCGGAUACUCAAGAAGAGCAUGGUUCUGCACCACCAUCUUCUGCGCCGUCCACCACCACCACGCCUACCAAACCUCCUGGUGGUGGUGGUGGUAAAAAUGAUGUAUCGUCAUCACCUUCAGCGUCACCUGCACCACGUCUCGUCGCAUCACCUGGUAAGAGCAGUACCACCCCAAGGGGUGCUAAGGUCCAACGCUCGCGCUCCAAGUCCCCCUUCCGCUCCUUCCGCUGGAAGAAAGGAGCUAAGGCCACGACCUCACCCAGUGUUGCGUCCCUCCACAGCAACGCGUCCGAGGAUGACGACAGGCUUACAGAGCGGAUGAGUCCGGGCGAAGAAGAUAUCCUGGAAGGUUCGCUGGUCCGCAAGCACGAGUGGGAAGCUACCACCAAGAAGGCGUCUAACAGGUCAUGGGAUAAGGUGUUCGUUGUGGUGCGAGGCUCGACGCUGUCGUUCUACAAGGACAGCAAGACCUACAAGGCAACCCCCGACCAAUACUUCAGAGGCGAGGCGCCCAUUGACCUCCUCAACGCCCAGGCGUCCGUGGCUGAUGACUACACCAAGAAGAAGAACGUCUUCCGCCUCAAGCUGGCGAACGGAGGCGAGUAUUUGUUCCAAGCUCGCGACGAGGAAGAACUGCACGGCUGGGCGGACGGCAUGCAGGCCGCUGCUGCUGGUGGUGAUGGCGGCGCUGCUGGCCGGUCAUCCCAGACUCUGCCCGCCGGUGCUGAGAAGAAAGACGAGCCUAAGAAGCGAGGCUUCUUUACUCUCAAGAAGAAAUAAGAAGGAAUGCCGGUGCUACUGUCCAGAGCUGUGAAGCCGUAACGAGACGACUCUGUGUAAUCGCAUAAGAGUCGCAACCUUCGCUCCUCGCUGCUUUGGAUGUAAAGAUCUACUGCCCCUUGAGCUGACAGAAAUAUAAGCUCGUUAGAACUGCUAUUACACUACCGUAUGUAUCAUUCUCUUAUGUCGGCCUUGUGAGCAUUCUCAUAGAUAUCAUUCUUCAAUGUUUCCAUUAUAAUGGAAGUCGUUCAUUUUCAACUAACUUCGGUAAAUAUCAAAGCCAGUGAACUAUAUGGCUCAUAUAUAUUAUUGUUACCAGGAGCCAAAAGGUCGUUAGUUUCUCUCCGGGUCUAGAGCAGUUCACUGCGCCCAGCAGUAAAUAGCGUUUUCGACGGGCUGAAGGAAGCAGGCAUUGUGAAUGUAUUGAAAGGAAUACUGUAUUCUUUUGUAUUCAUUGCGAUUUACGCAGUCACCUUUUAUCCUCCCUUUCUCUGUCCGGUUGUAUUCUUCCCUGUCGAUUAUUUUAGUGGUGUUUUAGAUCACUAUUUUCUAGUUUGUUUUUUACUGGGAUAGUAUUGGCUGUAUGAAUGUUGAGUGUUUUUUUUGUUUUUAGUGUCCGAACGAUUCACCGUUUUAUGCCUUCAGAUUUUCCUGAAAUUCAAAUUGGGAAUAAAUUUCUUAUCAAUGACGCAAAUCGGUAAUAUUUUAACUCGAAAUUUCGUGGUAUUACGAAUUGUCUUUGAUUAUGAGUUUGAUUUUAUCGUCCAUAGGAGGUCGCCACGCUAUGUAUCUAUGCAACCGAAGUGUGGUAUGAACUAAACAAGGAAACCAUCUUCUGCCACUGCUGAAAUUUGCUACAUUUAAAAGAUGUUUGCAUUUAUUACCUGCUUCUGAAUCCGUUAUUUUAUUUUUUGGAAGCUCAACCAGAAUAUUAAAUUUUUUUAUGUCUUUCACAUCUCACAGAUGCGUUACGUCAAUUUCCAGUAUAUAUAUUGACGCAUGAAACAUAGAUUUUAUCUAAUGAUUUUGAUUGCAUGCUAAGCGGUUCAGUUGAUGAUUCAUUUUAUAUCCCUGCCUUAAUAACCUGAGCAAAAUGUUAGUUAUAAACCUACUAGGAACGAUGUUGUUUUUGGUGUGAGUGCCCAGCCUCAUUUGCAAUGGUAUUCGUGCAUAGUAUAAACUUGUCUAAAAUUUGUAAUGCAUUUCUGAGUGGAAAUUACUUUAAAAUGAGCGGUAUUUUUUGUUAUGGUCGAGAAUUGAAAUUUAUUCCUAACUUUGUAUACUUUGUAUUGUUAAGAUUCUUGUUCCGUUUUUUGCAAUAGUUUUUUGCUUUUGUCAUAUUUUAAAUUUUUUUGAAAUUUGUAUAUUAUUCAUUGAAUUAUAGCAGUAUUUCAUCGAAAUAAUUCCUUUUGGUGUAUAUAAGCUGAUUGCCUGCCGCUGAUCCAUUUAGCUCCUUUGAAUUUAUCGACCUAUUUUCAAAUUAUUGUAAUUGCUGCAAUGCGAUCUGUAAUUAAUUUAAGGGUUAUUCGGUUCCAAUUCUUAUCACAUUAAUAUUCUUGUAUGGCAUCCAGUUUCAUGUUUUGAUAAAGAGCAAAAAAUGCAUUUUAUUCUGUGCUGCAAUUAUAGGUCGCCUAAUUCAUAAUCAAAUGACGGUGGUCGAGGGAGUUUGACUUAUGGUUCUACUACCAUCACUGCCACACACAAGCUCCACUCCUUUCUCGCCGUCAUCAUUAUUAAGACAUUUAUUGAAAUCGCGUGUGGAAACUAAAGAAAACGAGAUGUAGGGUCUGUGCAAUGAUAUUGAGGAAGCAAGACCUAGUCUCUCUUAAAGGAACCGAAAAAAUAAAUCUUAAGCUUCUCCUAAAAAGUAAUAAUACCAUCUCAGUGACAUUAGCUUUGGAGCAAUUAAAAUGUGACCGUAUGGAACUAAUUCAGAUUGUUUCCGAGCAAGUAAAUAAUUAUUAAUGAUCCUUACUUGCGCCUACUUAGUCAUUGAUUGCUCCUAGGUGUGAUGUGGGCGCCACUAGAUUUCGUACCAGAAUUAUUAGGAUGGUGUAUCGUUUUAGACGUCAUCGGGAUGCUUUUGUCUGCGCCAAGUUUUGAGUUUAGGGAGCUGUUCGAACAACAAUCGGUCCAUGUCUUGAUGUUACUUGUGUGCUGGAGAACUGCUAGAAUAUUAGCCCAAUAGAUAGAAAGCCUGACCAUUCAUAACCUAGAUUGGAUUUCUGUACAGUUCAGAGGUUUUUCCCGAGUUUAUGGUAAUCGCUUUAGCUUUAAUCUUUCCUAAGUAAUGUCCAUGGCUUCUGGUUAGGCGUUAAUGAUAUCAGUCUAUUAAUAUCUUUGAAGGGUGCACUCUAUUAUUAUUAUUUACUUUAUUUUAUAAUUAAAGAAUUCUCGCAUCGUAGGGUAUUGACCUUGAAUCGAUUUUAUGUGACAUCAUACAUGUUUAUAACAAGCAACCGCAGUGACGACGCUUCGACUAAGACGUCUCUCCAGCCCCGUCGUGUAUACCGUUAACGACACGACAGCGAGGUCCAAGCAGCGUCCUUCUGCACCAUCAGCAAAAUCAAAUGACAAGUCGCAUGCAAGACAUUUCUUGUUUUUGUUUUCCUCCAUUGAUAAUAUCUUAUUGUACUGCGAUGUGCGAAUAGAUCUAGAUUGUAAGUAGCUAAUAAAAAUUAGAAGUUAAAUGACAGUAAACGUAAACUAUUUGGGAGAUGUGGAAAGUUAAAAUUUAGUUAUCACAUUUUUUCCACGUUGAAAGAUUUAACGCUAACCAGAAAAUAAAACCGUGUUGUAUCACUUGUAUGUUAUAUGCUAUCAAUCGCCUUUAGAUGGAGAGAGAUGGAAGAACACCUAUGGUCAUUUUGCUUUUCUUUCAUGAUAAUAAUUGCAAUAAUUAGUUAAUUUAAUUGCAUUACCGGCCAAACUGUUCUUGAAUUCGGGGCACAAUUGUACUGCAAAUUAGCUGAUAUUCAUGUCUGAAUAUCAGCCCAAUGAACUUGAGACUUAAUUUAGGAACGUGGGGAAUAGUGGAUUGUGGAACAAUCGUCAAAAAUUAUUAUAGCGGGUUCUAAAAGUGUCUUGAGCCGUUUUGGGUCAAUGCGACAAUUAUGCGAUAUAUAUUGCCCUCUAUAGUGAAUAAACCUGCAAAAUAAAAGUAUUUGAAAACUGU